GGACCAUCACUGCCUUCUACAAGAAGUAUCAGCAUGGUCUCUGUGACUUCCAGCUCAGAAUUUGCCUGAAGUAGAUUAUUUCAUGUCCAUCUCCCAAGAUGGAGAGUUCUGGUGUAAUGUUCACAACGGAGUGAAUGCAGCUGUACUUCCACAACAUUUUUGAGUGAGUAAAAUAGGGAACACUUCUGUAUUUAAGUUCUACAGUCCUUAACAUAAUACUAUACUUACUGGCACAUUCUUUAAUCAUAGCAGCCACAUCAAAAGUAAUCCAACAUUUUAGUACAAAAAAGUUUUAAAGACAUGAGAAUUCAUUCAAUUUAAAAACAAGCAGGUUAAUGCAGAGCUGUCAUGAUGAUAUACCAAUGGUUAGAAUACAGACCAGCCAAAUACAAGUCUUCUGCCCUACAGCCAUUCAAAACAAGCAUUUCCAUUUUAGCUGUUCUACAAAUUAGUGCUUGCACUACACUGAAAGAUGCAGGAGUUUUUUUACAUGAAAAAUAAACAAACAAAAAAAUCCCCAUAACCACAACAAAAACACAGAAGAGGUUUUGAUUUUACUUUAACAGGUAAGAUUAGCAUGAGAAUUCCAAGUGCCUGGAUGCCAGGCUAGAGAUUAAAGGAAGCAGCUGGAAAAACUGCCCAAUGCUAGUAUCACAAUAAAUCCCUCAAAAAAACCCAAAAAACC